rnacentral:tRNA from 1 species
UGUAGCUUAGCAAAGCAUCUCGUUUACACCGAGCAGACAUCCGUGAAACCCGGAUCAUUUUGA